rnacentral:lncRNA from 1 species
UAGCUUAGGGUUUAGUGUUGAUGGUUUAGGGUUUAGAGUUGAUGUUUUAGGGUUUAGAGUUCAAGGUUUCGGGUUUAGGGUUUAGAGUUGAUGUUUUGGGGUUUAUGGUUUAGAGUUGAUGUUUCAGGGUUUAGGGUUCAUAUUUCAAAAACAAAUAGGGUUUAGGAUUGAUAGUUUAGGGUAUAGUGUUCGUAUAUAAAAUAAAAGGGUUUAGGAUUGAUGGUUUAGGGUUUAGAGUUGAGUUUUAGAGUUUAGGGCUUGAAUUUGGAUAUAGUUUAAUUCGAAAAAAAAUUAAAAAAAUAUUUUUUAUUUUUUUAGAUUUUUAUUUCUUUAAAUAUUUAUUUAUUAUAUAUAUAAAGAAUAAGGGCAUAAGAGUCUUUUGCCUUUUAAGAAAGAAGAUAUUUUUGAAAAUGUUCCUUUAGUGAUGGUAAAAAUGAAAAAUGG